UUUAUCUUCAUCAUUUAUUCUUUAUUCAGAUUGAGUGACUGCAGGUUGUCAGAGAUCAGCUGUGCUUCUCUGGCCUCAGCUCUGAAGUCCAACCCCUCCCAUCUGAGAGAGCUGCAUCUGGUUAACAACAACCUGAAGGAAUCAGAUGUGAAGCUGUUGUCUGAUCUUGUGAAGAGUCCACACUGUAGACUGGAGACUCUGAGAUGGGAGUGGUGAUCUCCGUCAGUCUGAGUGAUCAGAAAAGUGGAUGUGCUGAGAGGAUCAGCCGUGUCCUGAUGAUCCACAGAGGUUCACCACCUGGACCUGCAUCUGAUUUUGUCUUUUUUAUUCAUUCAUAUAUUCUGAACCCAAAGUGCCUCUGCAGAAUAGUUCAGUUUAUGACAACAUAACUGUAGAUGAACACAUUUAAAUAGAUCUCUCUGCUUUGCUUUGUGUCGCAGCUCCACCCUGUGGAACGAUGGAGUUUUGCUGUUUAUUUCCACACAUUUCUAAAUAACAGUGGAAGUUAAUAAAGUUACCCUUUUAAAACCGAGCCCUCAGGAAGAGGGCCGUGCUUUGAUGCCCAUUUUCGUAGCGGCCAAACGGCGGUACGACAACUUCUGUGUCCGCGGUGCGGACUAAGACGCGAGGAGAGGAGUCGAGGAGAGGAGUCGAGGAGAGGAGUCGAGCCGUAUAAAAUCAGAAAUGGGAAAGGCUCUAUGUCUCUCUCUCCUUGUUAAUCUGAUUUGCUCCACUGUGGCAGCUGAUGUCCCAGCAUGCAGCGUGGUCCUGAUGGAGGAAAUGAAUGAAUGUGUUCGUACUGAACCUCAUGCUGUCUUUCAGAACCGUUUAAUGAACCACGACUGCCAUGUCCUGGAGUUAGUUAACCUAUAAUUUAAACUCCUGUCGAGCCCUGAGUUUCAAUGUUACAUGUUGUGUUACUCAGUUUCUCCUGCAGCUGUUUUAAACGCUCCACCUCCACAGAUGAUUUCACUUAUUGGAUAGAUUGGACCUCCUCUUGUCUGACUGUGUAACUCCUCCUCUCCCCUCUUUUGUCUAAUGUUUUAUCCACAUAGUGUUUGUGGCUGCAGCUUCCUUGGUAGCUCACAUGUUGUGCAGCAUAUUGUGCUUCCACCUGGAGUAAAAGGUGUGAUAUAAAUAAAGUUUUAUUUGCUUGCUCACACACUUCCAGCAUAGCUUGGCCUUGGGCACAGUCUUAUCAACCACGAUAACUGAAAACCAGCGGGCAACUCCGGGUCUGAGAUGUGAAGCCAAUGAUGAAGAGCCUUAAACCUUCAUCCUGUCCACCAGCCAGCAGGGUGCGACUCCUCUGCUUCUAUAGAAGUCUGAUAAAAAAUGAGCCUCCUUCUCUCUUCAUUUAUACCUCAAUAAACAUUAUAAACAUGA